GUUAUAGGGUCAAGUGAAUAAGAGCAUGUGGUGGAUGCCUUGGCAAUGAUAGGCGACGAAAGACGUGAAAGCCUGCGAUAAGCUUCGGGGAGCUGGCAAAUAAGCAUUGAUCCGGAGAUUUCUGAAUGGGGAAACCCACCCUUAGGGGUAUCGCAUGAUGAAUACAUAGUCAUGCGAGGCGAACCGGGUGAACUGAAACAUCUCAGUAGCUCGAGGAAAAGACAUCAACCGAGAUUCCGAAAGUAGUGGCGAGCGAAAUCGGAAGAGCCUGUUAGUGAUAGCACAACUGUUAGCAAAGCGGCAUGGAAAGGCCGGCCAUAGUGGGUGAUAGCCCCGUAUGCGAAAACAGAUGUGUGGUACUGAGCUAACGACAAGUAGGGCGGGACACGAGAAAUCCUGUCUGAAUAUGGGGGGACCAUCCUCCAAGGCUAAAUACUCAUCAUUGACCGAUAGUGAACAAGUACCGUGAGGGAAAGGCGAAAAGAACCCCGGGAGGGGAGUGAAAUAGAUCCUGAAACCGCAUGCUUACAAAAAGUAGGAGCCUCGAAAGGGGUGACUGCGUACCUUUUGUAUAAUGGGUCAGCGACUUACAUUCAGUGGCAAGGUUAACCGAAUAGGGAAGCCGUAGAGAAAUCGAGUCCGAAUAGGGCGAUCAGUCGCUGGGUGUAGACCCGAAACCAAGUGAUCUAUCCAUGGGCAGGAUGAAGGUGCCGUAACAGGUACUGGAGGUCCGAACCGACUAAUGUUGCAAAAUUAGCGGAUGACCUGUGGAUAGGGGUGAAAGGCUAAACAAACUUGGAAAUAGCUGGUUCUCUCCGAAAACUAUUUAGGUAGUGCCUCAAGUAUUACCAUCGGGGGUAGAGCACUGUUUUGGCUAGGGGGUCAUGGCGACUUACCAAACCAAGGCAAACUCCGAAUACCGAUGAGUACAGCUUGGGAGACAGAGCACCGGGUGCUAACGUCCGGACUCAAGAGGGAAACAACCCAGACCGCCAGCUAAGGUCCCUAAAAUUGGCUAAGUGGGAAACGAAGUGGGAAGGCUAAAACAGUCAGGAUGUUGGCUUAGAAGCAGCCAUCAUUUAAAGAAAGCGUAAUAGCUCACUGAUCGAGUCGUCCUGCGCGGAAGAUGUAACGGGGCUAAGCCAGUUACCGAAGCUGCGGAUU
rnacentral:rRNA from 2 species